CUGGAAUGCAAUGGCUGGUGUGCUACUCAGAUGAGGGAGGUUUGGACACAGACACUCAGAGAGAAGAGCACCAUGAAAAAGCACAGAGGCACAGACACAUAGAGAAGACAGCCACGUGAUGACGAAGGCAGAGAUUGGGGUGAUGCUUCUAGAAGACAAAGAAUGUCAAGGAUUGCUGGGCAACCACCAGAGGCCAGAAAGAGUUGUCUGACCCACGGAAGCCUCC
rnacentral:lncRNA from 1 species